rnacentral:rRNA from 1 species
UGGAAACUGUNUGACUUGAGUGCAGAAGGGGAGAGUGGAAUUCCAUGUGUAGCGGUGAAAUGCGUAGAUAUAUGGAGGANCACCAGUGGCGAAAGCGGCUCUCUGGUCUGUCACUGACGCUGAGGCUCGAAAGCGUGGGUAGCGAACAGGAUUAGAUACCCUGGUAGUNCACGCCGUAAACGAUGAGUGCUAGGUGUUAGGCCCUUUCCGGGGCUUAGUGCCGGAGCUAACGCAAUAAGCACUCCGCCUGGGGAGUACGACCGCAAGGUUGAAACUCAAAGGAAUUGACGGGGGCCCGCACAAGCGGUGGAGCAUGUGGUUUAAUUCGAAGCAACGCGAAGAACCUUACCAGGUCUUGACAUCCCGAUGCUAUUCUUAGAGAUAGGAAGUUACUUCGGUACAUCGGAGACAGGUGGUGCAUGGUUGUCGUCAGCUCGUGUCGUGAGAUGUUGGGUUAAGUCCCGCAACGAGCGCAACCCUUAUUGUUAGUUGCCAUCAUUAAGUUGGGCACUCUAGCGAGACUGCCGGUAAUAAACCGGAGGAAGGUGGGGAUGACGUCAAAUCAUCAUGCCCCUUAUGACCUGGGCUACACACGUGCUACAAUGGUCGGUACAACGAGUUGCGAGCCGGUGACGGCAAGCUAAUCUCUGAAAGCCGAUCUCAGUUCGGAUUGGAGGCUGCAACUCGCCUCCAUGAAGUCGGAAUCGCUAGUAAUCGCGGAUCAGCACGCCGCGGUGAAUACGUUCCCGGGCCUUGUACACACCGCCCGUCACACCACGAGAGUUUGUAACACCCGAAGUCGGUGAGGUAACCUUUUAGGGG